AUUAUGUAGUUUAUGUUUUUACCACCUCCCACCCCAACGUCCCAAAGCACGCCCUGGUCCACUUCCUGCUCUGCCAGCAGAAAGCAGUGUUUGAGAGCAAACACGGGAAAGUCCCUACCAGUCACCAUCUCCACUGUAGUCUUCUACAUAAUCAGAAAUGAUAGACGAGAAGGAAUCCUCUCCAGACACACUCCUCUGGUGCUGCCCAUGUAUAUGAAGGAGAUAUCACCGUUUUCAAUUAGAGUUGAUUGAAAACGGUCACAAAUAAAUGGAGGGGAAGCCAAUCUACAUGUACAUGAGCUUGAAGAUCCAGGGUGAUGAAAUCAACCUCUACCAGCACCUUGACUUUGAGACAACGAGCCUCCUACUUUACAGAGAAAAGCAGCAAGACCCCCACCUCUACCCCCUAAACCACAAUAUUUACAAAUAGCUAGACACAAACUUCCACCCCUUUCUCCAUCAUUGGAGAACAAUUCCCAGUUCUACUCUGGCGGCUCAUGGCACCCACUCUUCUGCUCCUUAGCAGAGGUGCCCUCUAAUCUACGGAUCCUGGGUGUCGCACUGGUAUGCUCCAGCCUGCGACUGCUCAACUUGGGCUAGUGCUGCCAGGCCUUUGAGAGGGAGAAGAUUGAUGGGACGUGUUAAACACAGUGGAGCCCAGCAUGAUGAGGAAGACCCUGGGUAUGGAGUAUCUGCACGUGGGCAAGCUGCUCCGCUUCCAACAUGGCUGGAGGCCCUUACUUGGGUCCUUUGGAGCUGAGCAGGUUGGGUAGUAAC
ensembl:lncRNA